rnacentral:lncRNA from 1 species
AGCACAGAGAUUCUGCCCUCUGCAUAUUCUCAGGUCUCUGUGUGUACCUCCCAUUGAGUAGAGAAGCUUAAGAUAAUUUCUGAGAGAAGAACACUGCUGAUUAUGGGAGCAGUUUAGGAGUCCAUGGAAGAAAGAAAAAUACAUGUGUCUUGGCAGCCAUGGUAUAUUUUUGUCUAAAUGGAUUGGAAGGAUAUUUGAAUAUUUGAAUGUUGGUAUGACAUAAAGCUGCAGUGCACUAUAGAGUCAAGUCAUUGAAUUACCACUCCUGAUAUAGGGCUUUAUUGUACUACUGUGAAGUGUAUGUGUGCAAUACAUUGCUGAGUUCAUUUACUGGUAUACGGAAGAGCCAGCAGGAGCAGCGUGGUCAUUGCUCGGUGCUAUUACAGUUGCUUAUAGUGAGUGCUAUUUUCCAGGAGAUGGAGCCAGUUGGGUGUGGCAGAUCUACUGAAUAUCAAAUGAUGCUCUUCUUCCCAUGCAGACCUUCAGCAAAAGCCGGUACUUGGAAGCCACAGGCUCACCUUCUCUAUCUAUCCAAUAAUUAUUAAUGAAGAGACCUCCAUAAGGGAGCAGCUGGCUGUUAUCGAUAAAUGUACCAAUUAUUAAAUAAUUAGUCUCCAAGCCAUUCAGUGAUGUCUUCAGCAUCACUAUAGAACUGUCUAGUGUCACUUUUUCCUUCCUUCUGGGUGGAGGCUUUCAGACUCCCAAUCAUGAAGGCAAGUUAAUCUUUCUCUCCAGUUAGUGACUUUUGCCCCAUAGUUGGGUAAGCACUUCCUAGAUUGAGAAAAAGCAGCUACAGUCAAUCCUGCUCUGUUUCCCUCAUUUGGUGAUCAUGAUCAGUCAGUCACACAUAAGUUCCUUGUAUUCUAAAUUUCAUGCACUUCUCCCAGAUGCUAUAGGGUUUUCUCUCACUGUUGCCAAUGGAUGUCAUCCAGACAGUGGGCUCAUAUCUUACGGUUUUGUGCAAUCAUUGUCGUAUUGUAGUCUUAAGACUCAUUAUAGUGUAUUUUUGAUAUUUUUGAAAUGUGUUAAAUUUUUUAAUUCAAUAAUAUGAGCCAGAGCAUGUUGCAGCAAAUCUAUUGUUUGUAAAAAUAACAAUAACAAUAAUAAAUAAAAUAAAGUGGAAUCUCUUUU